rnacentral:rRNA from 1 species
UACGUAGGGUGCAGGCGUUAAUCGGAAUUACUGGGCGUAAAGCGUGCGCAGGCGGUUUGUUAAGACAGAUGUGAAAUCCCCGGGCUUAACCUGGGAACUGCGUUUGUUACUGGCAAGCUUGAGUGUGGCAGAGGGGGGUGGAAUUCCACGUGUAGCAGUGAAAUGCGUAGAGAUGUGGAGGAACACCGAUGGCGAAGGCAGCCCCCUGGGCUAACACUGACGCUCAUGCACGAAAGCGUGGGGAGCAAACAGG